AUUGAACGCUGGCGGCAUGCUGUACACAUGCAAGUCGAACGGCAGCACGGACUUCGGUCUGGUGGCGAGUGGCGAACGGGUGAGUAAUACAUCGGAACGUACCCAGUAAUGGGGGAUAACUAUCCGAAAGGAUAGCUAAUACCGCAUACGCCCCACGGGGGAAAGAGGGGGAUCGCAAGACCUCUGGUUAUUGGAGCGGCCGAUGGCUGAUUAGCUAGUUGGUGAGGUAAAGGCUCACCAAGGCGACGAUCAGUAGCGGGUCUUAGAGGACGAUCCGCCACACUGGAACUGAGACACGGUCCAGACUCCUACGGGAGGCAGCAGUGGGGAAUCUUGGACAAUGGGCGCAAGCCUGAUCCAGCAAUGCCGCGUGCGUGAAGAAGGCCUUCGGGUUGUAAAGCGCUUUUGUCAGGGAGCAAAUCCUUGUGGCUAAUACCCACCGGGGAUGAGAGUACCAGAAGAAUAAGGACCGGCUAACUACGUGCCAGCCGCCGCAGUAAAAC
rnacentral:rRNA from 1 species